UAGCUGCAUCAUAAAUGUUUUAAGGGAGCUCACUUGAAGUAAAUGUAUUUGAGUGAAUUACGUUAUGUACUGGUACUAAGUGUACACUCCAACAACUGCUUGCUUAAUUUGAAGAAGCAGAUGUUUAUAUGAAAUAAUGUUAGUAGAAAAAUAUGUCAAUUCGAUUAAGUUAAGCUAACUCAUGCCACUCUUUGGUGCAGUAUUUGUGUUUGAGAAAAGUGCGUGAACUUCUUUUCUGCCAUUAUAUAUUUUUUCUUUGCUGCUUGAAGCACACCAGCUUCUCUAUCACGAAUAAUUUAGACUGUGCUCAUGUAGUGAGAAUGUUGCUGGAUUGUGGGUUGGUUUAAGUCAUUGUAUUUUCACGCUUUCUUUUUUACAUCAGCAUGGUACCGAUAUUGCCCUCUUACUUGUAUGAGGACUCAUAACCAAGGUGUAGUAUUCAGUGAUUUAGUAUUUAUUUAGCUUUGUAAAGUCAAGAAUUAAAAGAAAGAGAUCUAAAUUCUUAUAUAUUCAUAUGUUUCCAGAAUUUCUCAGAAAGUUGCAGAAUGUUAUUGGUUUUGUGAAGGGCUUACAUAACUAAAAAAAAAUCAGAUAGCUCAAGUGAACAAGACAAACUAAAUGUGAAUGCGCUUUAGAGUACCAAAAAUGUGUUUCCUAAAUUGACACAAUACAUAUGUAUGGCUCGUUCCCACCUUGCACCAUGUGCUCAUGUACCACGCAGUCUUUGCAAAUGUUUUUGUCAUGUGGAUCACCCAUAUGCAUGUUCUGGCUCGUGCUUAUUACGUACAUGUGUGAAUGUUGGACAUGCAGUGCCACUUUUUCGAUAGUUGCAAGAAGUGGCUAGUCCACUAAUACCUGUUCUGAUUGUGCCCUGAUCCCUUCAUUCAAGGAUCAACUUUUUUAAUGUAUCGAUAUACACUUGCCUGAAGACAUGUUUGGUACUCGCUAUCUCUGUGUGGUAGGGUUUGUUUUGUGUGAAAAUAAUCUUUUGUGGUAUCUGUCAUGUAUGUAUCAGCGAUGACAGCUGUUCACGGCACCGACACAGAGGACAUAUUGCAGUGCAAGAUAGGAGCGGUCUACCUGCAAGCCCAGACAAGCCAUAUUGAGUGGUUUCAAAUACAGCAACUGUACCACCACGACAGUGCAGCACAAGAGACCCUAUCAUCAGUGCUGAGCCAGAAAUUAAAUAGAAAAGCGCUUUCUCCUG
rnacentral:lncRNA from 1 species